CCUACGGGAGGCAGCAGUGAGGAAUAUUGGUCAAUGGACGAGAGUCUGAACCAGCCAAGUAGCGUGAAGGAUGACUGCCCUAUGGGUUGUAAACUUCUUUUAUAAAGGAAUAAAACGAGGCACGUGUGCCUUUUUGCAUGUACUUUAUGAAUAAGGAUCGGCUAACUCCGUGCCAGCAGCCGCGGUAAUACGGAGGAUCCGAGCGUUAUCCGGAUUUAUUGGGUUUAAAGGGCGCGUAAAUGGGUUGUUAAUUCAGUUGUGAAAGUUUGCGGCUAAACCGUAAAAUUGCAAUUGAUACUGGCAGUCGUGAGUACAGUUGAGGUAGGCGGAAUUCGUGGUGUAGCGGUGAAAUGCGGAGAUAUCACGAAGAACCCCGAUUGCGAAGGCAGCUUACUAAACUGUGACUGACAUUGAUGCUCGAAAGUGUGGGUAUCAAACAGGAUUAGAUACCCGAGUAGUC
rnacentral:rRNA from 1 species